UUCUUAUUGAAUGAUGACUGUCACAUGUCAUGUUCUGAUUGGAUGUCAAUUCCAUGAAAGAUGAAAUGCAUUGUUGUUUUCAUUUACCAAUCAGAACAUGACAUGUGAUAGUCAUCAUCC
rnacentral:pre_miRNA from 1 species